rnacentral:tRNA from 1 species
GAGAUAGCUCAGUGGUUAAGAGCACUGGCUAUUCUUCCAGAGGUUCCGGGUUCAAUUCCCAGUACUCA